GAGAAAAAGGUGCUCACUUGGAACAAUACAGAGAAGAUUAGCAUGGCCCCUGUGCAAGGAUGAGACGAAAAUUCAUGAAGCGUUCCAUAGUUUU
rnacentral:snRNA from 1 species